CCUCAAUCUCUCCAUCUCUAUCUCCAUCUUUUAGUCUUUCUAUCUUCAGCAGCAGCCCAUUACAACCCACACAAGUACUCUACCGCCGACCACCAUAGAUGCGACGGGCUUCAGAUGGCAUCUCCAGAUGCGACGGGCUUCGUCAGAUGGCAUCUUCAAACUCACGGGCUUCAUAAGACAGCAUUUUCAGACGCGAUGCGCUUAAGAUGGGAACAUCGACGGGCUUUGGACGGUGAGCCACGACCUUCCGACAACGGCCCAAAAAAUUUCAACUGCGACCCACGACCUUCUGACAAAUUGAAUGUUGAAUGGUGAAUAACGUUGACUUGAAUGUUGAUGCCUUUAAUGGAGACAAAUAUUCUGGUGGAAUUCAUGACAGCACCCACAUUGUUCUGUGGAAAUGGAAGGAAGGAGAAAACCAACAAUGGAAGAUCGUACCCUACUAUUGAAUUGAAAGAGGAUUGUUAACGUGAUUAAUAUCUGGUACUUUGAACAUGUAAUCCUUUUGGGAAUUUGUACCUGUACCUAAGUGAAGAUGCAUUUUCCUAGUAUUCUUGAGCAAAGAAAUGGGUACUUCCUUCUUGUCUCUUUUUCCAUAUACUGCAUUAAGAUAGAUAUAGAAAAUCAGGUCUAGCAUGUCGGUUGAGUGUUUCUUUCAUUCUUUCUCAAUGAAAACUGUUUCUCUAGGAUCUCUGUUUCUUUUAACAAUUUUAGUGAAGAAUCUAAUAAUGGAGGUAACUUAUUGGUUGAGGUAUGUAUUUGAUGUCUCUAGUAAGAUAAAACUCAAAUAUUGUCAUCCUCAUUUGCAUUUAAUUGAAUUGUUUGUUGUGUUGCAUCAAGCCAUUGGAGCCUUUACUUUUUUACCAAACGAAGGAUGAACUGUUUUAACUUCUAAGUCAGACCAUGUCUUUUACAAAUUGUUCCAUAAUUUUGUUCAGUUUACCAUAUUUUUUUGGAUCCCUUAACAGUUUAAUUGAUCAUUAAAAUAAAGAAAAAUAAUAUGUUGAAGUAUAGUUUUUUUUUGAUAUAUUGUUCAUUUCUCUCUUAGAUCCAUUCGUAGUUUAAUGGAAGAAUAAUAAUUCUCAAGAACUCUAAAAAAGCAUUAAUUCUUGUUGUGCCAAAAAACAUUUAUUAGUUGUUUGUUAGUUGAACUACAUGAACCAAUUUGAAACUAGGUACGUUUUUGUGAACUCAUCAAUUCAAGAACUUAGCUAUGUUUUGGUUCUUAAGAAUUCGUUUACUUGAAUUGGAAGAUACUUGAAAGAGUUGUUUACUGUUGAGUUGUAUUUUUCAUCUCUUUAAAAAGUUGAAGUUUUGUUAUUAUCUUUUCCAUCUUCUCACGAUUCUACCAAAAAGUGGAUAGUUAUUAGUUUAUUACUCAUUUCUUAAUCAAUAGUAUGACUUCGAGGGAUGAGUUUUGUUGAUGUAUUGAAACAGGAGAAAUUGUAUGCGAUAAGGUAUGUACGACCAUUAAAUCAUUUGUUCCUAUUUGCUCUUCUACAUUUAUUCUUUUUGCUUUUCUUUGAUAUGGAUCAACUUUUUCUAGAAUCAAUGUGUCACAUACCUUUAGUUAAUUUUUCAAGAACUCUUUUAUAAAGAAGAGAUUAGUAUGUCAUAUAUUCUCUAUGGUAUAGUUAUGUUCACCAAGUGAUGAAGUUGAAGACACUUUUAUAAUUGGUGGAAGUCGGUUGUAUAGGGGGGGACCACAUUUCUGUUAGAAUUGUUUGUUACAAGGGGGGACAAUUUGAAGGUUAUAAAUAGGUAGAAGAGAGAAGGAUAAGGGAGGAAAAUUUUCAUGAAGUAGUGGGCACUGUAGCUCUAGAGAGAGAGUCUUUAGUAAUAGUUUUUUUCGUUUAUGUAUUACAUAUUGUAAUCGUUGAGCUCCUUCGUUUACAUUGCUGAUCGUUGAGUUCCUUCGUUUACCUUUUUGGAUAUUUCAUAUUGCAAUCAUUGAGUUCCUUCGUUUACCUUUUUGAAUAUUUCAUAUUGUAAUCGUUGAGCUCCUUCGUUUACACUUUCGAUCUUUUACACUUGCUGUUUUCUUACAAUUCCGGGUAUGUCCAUAACCUAAAGUUAUUGAUAUGAAUUGUGCUUACAAUAGUCUAAGAUGUAGUAUUAUUGUUUCACACAUAUAUUUAGGAAUCAUUGGACAUUGGUUGUAAUAAACCUUACGAAGGGUGCUGCCUUUUGGAUAGAUCCUUUGAAAAAUCGUAUUGACCCAGAUGUAACCUUAGUAGUUGAAAGGUAUGUCAUACUUAUCUUUACCUUUACUUCCUUUUUUCUUAAGUAGUUCAAACUCUGAUAUUACUUUUACCCAAAUUACUAAAAUGCAGUUUUUGAAGUUCAUCAAAUUAUCUCCAUUAAUUUAGUAUCUGUAACUUGAAUACACUUUUUGCUAAGAUGAUACACUCUGUUUUACUUGCCAGACGCUAAAAGUUGUUCACAACCUUCUACUUCAAAUCUCAGCACUUUAUAAUCCAUUUUCAUUCAAAAG